GUGCCAGCAGCUGCGGUAAUACGUAGGGCGCAAGCGUUGUCCGGAAUUAUUGGGCGUAAAGAGCUCGUAGGCGGUUUGUCGCGCCUGCUGUGAAAACCCGAGGCUCAACCUCGGGCCUGCAGUGGGUACGGGCAGACUAGAGUGCGGUAGGGGAGACUGGAACUCCUGGUGUAGCGGUGGAAUGCGCAGAUAUCAGGAAGAACACCGAUGGCGAAGGCAGGUCUCUGGGCCGUAACUGACGCUGAGGAGCGAAAGCAUGGGGAGCGAACAGGAUUAGGAUACCCUGGUAGUCCAUGCCGUAAACGUUGACGCUAGAUGUGGGCCUUUCCACGGUUUCCGCGUCGUAGCCUACGC
rnacentral:rRNA from 1 species